GUCAAGUCAUCAUGGCCCUUACGGCCUGGGCUACACACGUGCUACAAUGGUCGGUACAAAGGGUUGCCAAGCCGCGAGGUGGAGCUAAUCCCAUAAAACCGAUCGUAGUCCGGAUCGCAGUCUGCAACUCGACUGCGUGAAGUCGGAAUCGCUAGUAAUCGUGAAUCAGAAUGUCACGGUGAAUACGUUCCCGGGCCUU
rnacentral:rRNA from 1 species